GUAUUUUCAUUUCUACUUGAAGUAAAGGAGUUUUAAUAAUUUUUUUUUCAUUUUAAUUUGUUUUCAAUCAUCUGUAAAACUUUUAAAGUAAUAUUCAAAAAUUUAAGCACUCUGGGAUUUGAUGGAUUAAUAAUCAUUUCUAAAAUUA